GACGAACGCUGGCGGCAUGCCUAAUACAUGCAAGUCGAGCGAACAGAUGAAGUGCUUGCACUUCUGACGUUAGCGGCGAACGGGUGAGUAACACGUAAGGAAUCUACCUAUAAGCGGGGGAUAACAUUCGGAAACGGGUGCUAAUACCGCAUAAUAUCUUCUUCCGCAUGGAAGAAGAUUGAAAGACGGCUCUGCUGUCACUUAUAGAUGACCUUGCGGUGCAUUAGUUAGUUGGUGGGGUAAUGGCCUACCAAGACAAUGAUGCAUAGCCGACAUGAGAGGGUGAUCGGCCACAUUGGGACUGAGACACGGCCCAAACGCCUACGGGAGGCAGCAGUAGGGAAUCUGCCGCAAUGGGCGAAAGCCUGACGGAGCAAUGCCGCGUGAGUGAAGAAGGCCUUCGGGUCGUAAAACUCUGUUAUAAGAGAAGAACAAAUUGUAGAGUAACUGCUACAGUCUUGACGGUAUCUUAUCAGAAAGCCACGGCUAACUACGUGCCAGCCGCCGCCGUAA
rnacentral:rRNA from 1 species